AACGAACGCUGGCGGCAUGCCUAACACAUGCAAGUCGAACGAGAUCUUCGGGUCUAGUGGCGCACGGGUGCGUAACGCGUGGGAAUCUGCCCUUUGGUUCGGAAUAACAGUUGGAAACGACUGCUAAUACCGGAUGAUGACGAAAGUCCAAAGAUUUAUCGCCAGAGGAUGAGCCCGCGUAGGAUUAGCUAGUUGGUGUGGUAAAGGCGCACCAAGGCGACGAUCCUUAGCUGGUCUGAGAGGAUGAUCAGCCACACUGGGACUGAGACACGGCCCAGACUCCUACGGGAGGAAGCAGUGGGGAAUAUUGGACAAUGGGCGAAAGCCCGAUCCAGCAAUGCCGCGUGAGUGAUGAAGGCCUUAGGGUUGUAAAGCUCUUUUACCCGGGAUGAUAAUGACAGUACCGGGAGAAUAAGCUCCGGCUAACUCCGUGCCAGCAGCCGCCGUAA
rnacentral:rRNA from 1 species